rnacentral:hammerhead_ribozyme from 1 species
AUCCAGCUGACGAGUCCCGAGUAGGACGAAACACGCGUCCUGGAU